rnacentral:rRNA from 1 species
UACGGAGGGAGCGAGCGUUGUUCGGAAUCAUUGGGCGUAAAGGGCAUGUAGGCGGCUUUGCAAGUCGGGUGUGAAAUCCCAUCACUUAAGGGUGGAACGGCAUUCGAAACUGCAAGGCUUGAGUGCAGGGGAAGAGAGCGGAAUUCUCGGUGUAGCGGUGAAAUGCGUAGAUAUCGAGAAGAACACCAGCGGCGUAAGCGGCUCUCUAUCCUGACACUGACGCUGAGGUGCGAAAGCCAGGGGAGCGAACGGG